UCUCGGCGCGGGAUGCGCCAAGGACUACUGAAACGGAUUGCCCGGGCGCCGGCUCACGCCGGUCGCGCGCGGCGUCUGGUCGUUCUAACCGAAACGACUCUCGGCAACGGAUAUCUAGGCUCUCGCAUCGAUGAAGAACGUAGCGAAAUGCGAUACUUGGUGUGAAUUGCAGAAUCCCGUGAACCAUCGAGUUUUUGAACGCAAGUUGCGCCCGAAGCCAACAGGCCGAGGGCACGUCUGCUUGGGCGUCACGCAUCGCGUCGCCACCCCCCCCACCCGCGCGCUCCGUCGCGUUCUCGGGCGGGGGUGACGGAUGUUGGCCUCCCGUGCCCCUCGCGGCGCGGCCGGCCUAAAUGUGAGCCCCCGGCGCGGGACGUCGCGGCAAGUGGUGGUUGAACUGCUCAAUCGUGCGCUGCCGGGACGACCCUCGACGGGUGGGAAACGACCCCGGAGCCCGUCAAGGGCCCCAGACCGCGACCCCAGGUCAGGCGGGAUUAC
rnacentral:rRNA from 1 species